rnacentral:rRNA from 1 species
UACGUAGGGUGCGAGCGUUAAUCGGAAUUACUGGGCGUAAAGCGUGCGCAGGCGGUUAUAUAAGACAGAUGUGAAAUCCCCGGGCUCAACCUGGGACCUGCAUUUGUGACUGCAUAGCUAGAGUACGGUAGAGGGGGAUGGAAUUCCGCGUGGAGCAGUGAAAUGCGUAGAUAUGCGGAGGAACAGCGAUGGCGAAGGCAAUCCCCUGGACCUGUACUGACGCUCAUGCACGAAAGCGUGGGGAGCAAACGGG